rnacentral:rRNA from 1 species
AGGGCGGGACACGUGGUAUCCUGUCUGAAUAUGGGGGGACCAUCCUCCAAGGCUAAAUACUCCUGACUGACCGAUAGUGAACCAGUACCGUGAGGGAAAGGCGAAAAGAACCCCGGCGAGGGGAGUGAAAAAGAACCUGAAACCGUGUACGUACAAGCAGUGGGAGCACAGGUUUACCUGUGUGACUGCGUACCUUUUGUAUAAUGGGUCAGCGACUUAUAUUCUGUAGCAAGGUUAACCGAAUAGGGGAGCCGGAGGGAAACCGAGUCUUAACCGGGCGUUAAGUUGCAGGGUAUAGACCCGAAACCCGGUGAUCUAGCCAUGGGCAGGUUGAAGGUUGGGUAACACUAACUGGAGGACCGAACCGACUAAUGUUGAAAAAUUAGCGGAUGACCUGUGGCUGGGGGUGAAAGGCCAAUCAAACCGGGAGAUAGCUGGUUCUCCCCGAAAGCUAUUUAGGUAGCGCCUCGUGAAUUCAUCUCCGGGGGUAGAGCACUGUUUCGGCUAGGGGGCCAUCCCGGCUUACCAACCCGAUGCAAACUGCGAAUACCGGAGAAUGUUAUCACGGGAGACACACGGCGGGUGCUAACGUCCGUCGUGAAGAGGGAAACAACCCAGACCGCCAGCUAAGGUCCCAAAGUCAUGGUUAAGUGGGAAACGAUGUGGGAAGGCCCAGACAGCCAGGAUGUUGGCUUAGAAGCAGCCAUCAUUUAAAGAAAGCGUAAUAGCUCACUGGUCGAGUCGGCCUGCGCGGAAGAUGUAACGGGGCUAAACCAUGCACCGAAGCUGCGGCAGCGACGCUGAUGCGUUGUUGGGUAGGGGAGCGUUCUGUAAGCCUGCGAAGGUGGCCUGUGAAGGUUGCUGGAGGUAUCAGAAGUGCGAAUGCUGACAUAAGUAACGAUAAAGCGGGUGAAAAGCCCGCUCGCCGGAAGACCAAGGGUUCCUGUCCAACGUUAAUCGGGGCAGGGUGAGUCGACCCCUAAGGCGAGGCCGAAAGGCGUAGUCGAUGGGAAACGGGUUAAUAUUCCCGUACUUGGUGUUACUGCGAAGGGGGGACGGAGAAGGCUAUGUUGGCCGGGCGACGGUUGUCCCGGUUUAAGCGUGUAGGUGUGUGUUCCAGGUAAAUCCGGUUCACUUUAACACUGAGGCGUGACGACGAGGCACUACGGUGCUGAAGCAACAAAUGCCCUGCUUCCAGGAAAAGCCUCUAAGCAUCAGGUAACAUCAAAUCGUACCCCAAACCGACACAGGUGGUCAGGUAGAGAAUACCAAGGCGCUUGAGAGAACUCGGGUGAAGGAACUAGGCAAAAUGGUGCCGUAACUUCGGGAGAAGGCACGCUGACACGUAGGUGAAGUGAUUUACUCAUGGAGCUGAAGUCAGUCGAAGAUACCAGCUGGCUGCAACUGUUUAUUAAAAACACAGCACUGUGCAAACACGAAAGUGGACGUAUACGGUGUGACGCCUGCCCGGUGCCGGAAGGUUAAUUGAUGGGGUCAGCGCAAGCGAAGCUCCUGAUCGAAGCCCCGGUAAACGGCGGCCGUAACUAUAACGGUCCUAAGGUAGCGAAAUUCCUUGUCGGGUAAGUUCCGACCUGCACGAAUGGCGUAAUGAUGGCCAGGCUGUCUCCACCCGAGACUCAGUGAAAUUGAACUCGCUGUGAAGAUGCAGUGUACCCGCGGCAAGACGGAAAGACCCCGUGAACCUUUACUAUAGCUUGACACUGAACAUUGAGCCUUGAUGUGUAGGAUAGGUGGGAGGCUUUGAAGUGUGGACGCCAGUCUGCAUGGAGCCGACCUUGAAAUACCACCCUUUAAUGUUU